rfam:Hordeum vulgare subsp. vulgare, WGS project CAJW01000000 data, contig: morex_contig_2555748
UUUGUAUUCCCUCCGUUCCAAAAUUCUUAUCUUUGGUUUGUCUAGAAAUGAAUGUAUCUAAAUAUAAAAAUAUGAAUAGAUACAUUCAUAUCUACACAAAUGUAAGAUAAGAAUUUUGGGACGGAGGGAGUACCAU